AAAACAAUCCACCAUGUAGGUGGUACGGACUCGAUAGAUGAUUGAGCGUGAUGAGAUGGAAAAAAAACUGCAUAAGCUUGCAAAAAAAUGGAAGCUCCACGAUUGAAGAGGCCUUCCAAAAGCGCCUUCAGGAAGAAAAGAUCCUUCAUGAGCAAGAGCAGCUGAGAGAGAUUGAGCUCAGCAAGCAACACCACAUGGGUGACUUGCAGGAGAAAAAUAGGCUUUCUCGAUUGUUGGAGCAUAAGAAUGCUUUCCAGGAAAGAAUUGUCCAA